rnacentral:snRNA from 1 species
GGAUGUGAGGGCGAUUUGGCUGUGACAUCUGUUACCCCAUUGAUUGCCAGGGUUGAUUCAGCUGAUCUGGCUCCAUGUGUGUCCCUCCUGAAGCUCACACUUGGUUGAAGAGGACCACCAUCCCCAAUAGAGGAGGACCAGUCUUCAGUCAAGGGUAUAUGAGUAGCUGAACUUCCCUGCUAGAACCUCCAAACAAGCUCUCAAUAAAGUAGAGUCAUUGCAGAGCAAUUUCAUCUGGUCUAGUUUUUAGUACUCUUCCUGGAUUACU